rnacentral:rRNA from 1 species
UACGUAGGGUGCUAGCGUUGUCCGGAAUCAUUGGGCGUAAAGAGCGUGUAGGCGGUCCGGUAAGUCCGCUGUGAAAGUCGGGGGCUCAACCCUCGAAUGCCGGUGGAUACUGUCGGGCUAGAGUGCGGAAGAGGCGAGUGGAAUUCCUGGUGUAGCGGUGAAAUGCGCAGAUAUCAGGAAGAACACCCGUGGCGAAGGCGGCUCUCUGGGACGGUACUGACGCUGAGACGCGAAAGCGUGGGGAGCGAACAGG